CCAUAUUGUUCCUUAAGCAACUGUUUAGAUGGGGUUGCUGCAGGCUGGUGGUGGGCAGAGGGAGGGGGCGGAGACCAGGAAUCAGAGAAUCUCAGGCAUGUUAACUAGAAGUGCCCUGUGGCGGGCACAGUGAAGUGCAGUUAUGCAGAUGGAUCCACAUCUGGAAUCUUGGAAAGGGGUCUGUACUGCUGUGUCCAAGAAAAUGAAGACAUAGAUGAGAAAAAGACAUCUGGCCAUUUAUAAAUAUGUCCUAACUCCAACAGGGGGUGAGAUAUUUUAAGGGCAGAUUAAAAAGCAUCAAAAUACAAGUAAGAAAAUAGAAUUUAAUACCAUACUCAUCUGGGUGGAUAGAUAUAUGUCCCAGCAGUGGUGUCUUUGUACAACCAGGAAGAUCUGUGGACUUUGACGAGAAAGCGUCACCUUUAGCAACACGGAACUGUCGGAGCGCCACCCUAACGGCACCACGGAUGUGGCAAGGACACACUUCCACCCCUCUGACCCACGUGCGGUUCACUCGUCUUCACUGCUGCGGCAUCUUCUCUCACUCGCUUAGAUCAGACUGCAUCUUCCCAUCCCUCCCUGCGACGUUUCCCCUGGAGUCUGUAACUGACCAAACCUUCUUGAUUGCUGUCUGCUGCUCAUACACGUUCUCUGGCCUGUUUGUCUGGUAAUAAAUGCUCUCCUUCCUUGGC
ensembl:lncRNA LOC102554533 uncharacterized LOC102554533